rfam:Roseovarius azorensis strain DSM 100674 genome assembly, contig: Ga0131273_108
GGGGACCUUUGGGGCCCUAUAUCUCGGUCACCCAUGAUGGGGGGCUACAACAUAGGCGGGGCCUGGUGAUGGUCCGCGUCAAUAGCAAACGGAAGACAGAAA